UACGUAGGGUGCAAGCGUUGUCCGGAAUUAUUGGGCGUAAAGAGCUCGUAGGCGGUUUGUCGCGUCUGCUGUGAAAAACCCGGAGCUCAACCUCGGGCCUGCAGUGGGUACGGGCAGACUAGAGUGGCGGUAGGGGAGAUUGGAAUUCCUGGUGUAGCGGUGGAAUGCGCAGAUAGUCAGGAGGAACACCGAUGGCGAAGGCAGAUCUCUGG
rnacentral:rRNA from 1 species